UACGGAGGGUGCAAACGUUGCUCGGAAUCAUUGGGCGUAAAGCGCACGUAGGCGGUCCGGAAAGUCGGGGUGUGAAAUCCCUCGGCUCAACCGAGGAAGUGCAUUCGAAACUUCCGGACUUGAAUAUGGAAGAGGGUCGCGGAAUUCCCGGUGUAGAGGUGAAAUUCGUAGAUAUCGGGAGGAACACCAGUGGCGAAGGCGGCGACCUGGGCCAUUACUGACGCUGAGGAGCGAAAAGCGUGGGGAGCGAACAGG
rnacentral:rRNA from 1 species